rnacentral:misc_RNA from 1 species
GAUGAAGAACGUAGCGAAAUGCGAUAAGUAGUGUGAAUUGCAGAAUUCAGUGAAUCAUCGAAUCUUUGAACGCACAUUGCGCCCCAUGGUAUUCCGUGGGGCAUGCCUGUUCGAGCGUCAUUUACCCCCUCAAGCUCCGCUUGGUGUUGGGCGUCUGUCCCGCUUCGCGCGCGGACUCGCCCCAAAGGUAUUGGCAGCGGUCGUGCCAGCUUCUCGCGCAGCACAUUGCGCUUCUCGAGGCACCGGUGGGCCCGCGUCCAUCAAGCUCCCCCCCCCAGUUUGACCUCGGAUCAGGUAGGGAUACCCGCUGAACUUAAGCAUAUCAAUAAGCGGAGGA